rnacentral:rRNA from 1 species
GACGAAGGGGGCUAGCGUUGUUCGGAAUUACUGGGCGUAAAGCGCGCGUAGGCGGUCUUUCAAGUCGGGAGUGAAAGCCCCGGGCUCAACCCGGGAAUAGCUCUUGAUACUGUUGGACUUGAGUCCGGGAGAGGAUAGUGGAAUUCCCAGUGUAGAGGUGAAAUUCGUAGAUAUUGGGAAGAACACCAGUGGCGAAGGCGGCUAUCUGGACCGGUACUGACGCUGAGGCGCGAAAGCGUGGGGAGCAAACAGG